rnacentral:rRNA from 1 species
GUAGGGAAUAUUGCGCAAUGGAGGCAACUCUGACGCAGCCAUGCCGCGUGCAGGAAGAAGGCGCUACGCGUUGUAAACUGCUUUUAACCGGGAAGAAACCCCAGGACGUGUCCUGGGUUGACGGUACCGGAGGAAUAAGCACCGGCUAACUUCGUGCCAGCAGCCGCGGUAAUACGAAGGGUGCAAGCGUUAUCCGGAUUCAUUGGGUUUAAAGGGUGCGUAGGCGGAGCGUUAAGUCAGUGGUGAAAGCCUGCAGCUUAACUGUAGACUUGCCAUUGAUACUGGCGCUCUUGAGUGCGCUUGAAGUGGGCGGAAUGUGCCGUGUAGCGGUGAAAUGCUUAGAUAUGGCACAGAACACCAAUUGCGAAGGCAGCUCACUAAGGCGAUACUGACGCUGAGGCACGAAAGCGUGGGGAUCGAACAGGAUUAGAUACCCCUGUAGUCC